GUUCCUCCUCUCCUUUUUUCCCUCCCCUUUCCCUCCCUUCGGAGAGUAUGCCUGUUUGAGGGUCAGCGUAAUAAAAAUCGACAUAGUUGCCGUUUCGCGGUGACAUUCGUCGGAAAUUGGGUAAUCUUAAACUUUUUGGUUUUAAGCGGCUUAAAUUUUUCUUUACGAUACCACGAAUGUUAUUAAGAUUUUACUUCUUACACGUUCACGGUAUCGAUCUUUAUUAGUCGUGGCCGUUGCACCGGGUCACGU
rnacentral:misc_RNA from 1 species